rnacentral:rRNA from 1 species
UACGUAGGGAGCGAGCGUUGUCCGGAAUUACUGGGUGUAAAGGGUGCGUAGGCGGCCUUGUGGGUCAGGCGUGAAAUACAUGGGCUUAACCCAUGGACUGCGCUUGAAACUAUAAGGCUUGAGUGAAGUAGAGGCAGGUGGAAUUCCCGGUGUAGCGGUGAAAUGCGUAGAGAUCGGGAGGAACACCAGUGGCGAAGGCGGCCUGCCUGGGCUUUAACUGGACGCUGAGGCACGGAAAGCAUGGGUAGCAAAC